rnacentral:rRNA from 1 species
GACGUAGGGCGCGAGCGUUGUCCGGAUUUAUUGGGCGUAAAGGGCGCGUAGGCGGCCUUCUAAGUCAUGCGUGAAAUCCCCGGGCUCAACCCGGGAACUGCGUCCGAUACUGGAAGGCUUGAAUCCGGGAGAGGGAUGCGGAAUUCCAGGUGUAGCGGUGAAAUGCGUAGAUAUCUGGAGGAACACCGGUGGCGAAGGCGGCAUCCUGGACCGGUAUUGACGCUGAGGCGCGAAAGCCAGGGGAGCAAACGGG